rnacentral:rRNA from 1 species
AGUGAACGCUGGCGGUAGGCCUAACACAUGCAAGUCGAACGGCAGCACAGUAAGAGCUUGCUCUUACGGGUGGCGAGUGGCGGACGGGUGAGGAAUACAUCGGAAUCUACUUUUUCGUGGGGGAUAACGUAGGGAAACUUACGCUAAUACCGCAUGCGACCUACGGGUGAAAGCAGGGGAUCUUCGGACCUUGCGCGAUUGAAUGAGCCGAUGUCGGAUUAGCUAGUUGGCGGGGUAAAGGCCCACCAAGGCGACGAUCCGUAGCUGGUCUGAGAGGAUGAGCGGCCGGGCGGGAGGGGGGGCGGGGUCCAGGGGCCGGCGGGAGGCAGCAGUGGGGAAUAGUGGGCAAGGGGGGCAAGCCUGGUGCAGCGAGACCGCGUGGGUGAAGAAGGCCUUCGGGUUGUAAAGCCCUUUUGUUGGGAAAGAAAAGCAGCAGGUUAAUACCCCGCUGUUCUGACGGUACCCAAAGAAUAAGCACCGGCUAACUUCGUG